rnacentral:misc_RNA from 1 species
AAGUCGUAACAAGGUUUCCGUAGGUGAACCUGCGGAAGGAUCAUUACUGUAUUUUCAUUUUUGAAAUUACCUUUUUGUGGUUUUUUUUCUUUUCUUUUACACAUAUUCCAUUCUUUCUGAACAACAAAACAAAAAAAAACAAAAACAAAAACUUUCAGCAACGGAUCUCUUGGCUCUC